AACCUAGCACACCUGCGGUGUGUACCUGCGGAAGGAUCAUUACACAAAUUAAAAUAUGAAGGCUUCGGCUGGAUUAUUUUUAUCACCCUUGUCUUUUGCGCACUUGUUGUUUCCUGGGCGGGUUCGCCCGCCACCAGGACCACACCAUAAACCUUUUUUAUGCAGUUGCAAUCAGCGUCAGUAUAACAAAUGUAAAUCAUUUACAACUUUCAACAACGGAUCUCAGAUCGGAAGAGCACA
rnacentral:misc_RNA from 1 species